UAAUUUCAUCCUCACAUCUCCCCCUCUAAGCCGCCACCCCCCUCCUCCCACUUUCCCAUUUCUCUCUUCCGAGGUGCAUUUUAAUUCUUGAAUGCAAGAAGAUCUAGGAGACUUAAGUUAUUUCUUCCUUGAAUGCAAUCGAGUGGCAACAUUUUCAAUCUCAUGAUCAAUUACUUAGAACUUUUUCUUUUUUGACGUGGAACUCCCUAGAAUUUAUAGAUUAAAGAUAAAAUAUCUAACCCAAUGUACAUAGUUUGUAUUAUUUUAGUUUGACAAAAUUUAAUGUCUAGCCUCCCAUUAGCUAGUUUUUAUUUUA